AUUGAACGCUGGCGGCAGGCCUAACACAUGCAAGUCGAGCGAGCGGCGGACGGGUGAGUAAUGGCUGGGAAACUGCCUGAUGGAGGGGGAUAACUACUGGAAACGGUAGAUAAUACCGCAUACCAUCAGAUGUGCCCAGGUGGGAUUAGCUAGUAGGUGGGGUAACGGCUCAACUAGGCGACGCUCCCUAGCUGGUAUGAGAGGAUGACCAGCCACACUGGAACGGAGACACGGUCCAGACUCCUACGGGAGGCAGCAGUGGUGAAUAUUGGACAAUGGGCGCAAGCCGGAUGCAGCCAUGCCGCGUGUGUGAAGAAGGCGUUCGGGUUGUAAAACACUGUGGGCAGGGAGGCGGUACCUGAAGAAGAAGCAACGGCUAACUACGUGCCAGCAGCCGCGGUAAUAC
rnacentral:rRNA from 1 species